AGAGAGAGGGGACAGAGCAGGAACAGG
rnacentral:piRNA from 1 species